GGCACCUGUGGGCCGGCCGGCGCUUUUCCGGCGCGCCCGGCCCUCCCCGCCGCGGGGAGCCUGCGGGAGGGCCCCGGCUGGGUCACCGCCUUGGGCCAGUCGGCCGGCCGCCGGGCAGCCGCUGUGCUUGCUGCAGGACCUCGCGGCGGGCGGGGAGGGCACUGCCGGCCCGGAGUCAGCGGCGGGGCGGCGGGUCCCCUGCCCCAGUCAGCCCGGGAGCACCGAUGCCAGCUCGUCCCGCUGCGGGAGAGAUGGCACCGUCCGUGAUGAAGCCACCGUAGCUUGUCAACAGUUUGUGUAACAGUUGCUAGUGAGCCCUGCGCCUUCCCCGCCGGGAAUUCAGGGGGUCGCGGGGAGAGUGAGGCCAGGACAAGGCAACACAGGCUCAGGGCCAGGGCUUCUCCAGCCAAUCUGCCCAACCGGCCUCUCCAGCAGAACAGCCGGAUUCCUGACCACAAGCAGGAAGCUGGAAUGGCCAUUCUCUUGGUUAAAGGGAGCCACGGGUCAGUUCAGGUGCCCGAUGAGGGGAGGGCACGCUGGAGGGCCUGGUUCCCUGGAGGCCAUCGGUGACUACCACAGUGCCUUGGACAAGAGAGUCCCCUUCGCGUGUGCAUUUUUAGCCAAGGAGAACCGGCUGUGCUGUGCACCCCGAGCCAAUGAGCCCGGGCAUGGGCCUCCUAUUGCGUGAGCUCUCCGCCAAUGAAAGUCCUGCCUUCUCCUUGGUUGGAUGGGUUCUGGAAAGAGGUUCACCGCUCUGUGCUUUCUCUUUCUGCAUCUGUUUUGUUUCUGGCAAGUGGUUCUGACCCACAAUGGCCGGCGUUGGAAGGAGAGGGGCUGGCCCUGGGUCAAAGUGGAAGUAUCCUGUUGGAUUGCAACAGAGACUGAAGGGGCCCUUGAGGUAGCCCUCUGGGAAGGGAAGAUAGGGGCAUAAGGACUGCUUCGGACUCGGUGAAGGAGAUCAGAAAUGUUGCCGCAGUCCAAGGAGCUGUCAGGAAGGAGUUGUUUACAGCACACCCGUGGCCACAGGGGAUGUGGAGAGAAAGGCCCGGCAAUCACAGGUUGCUGACGCUGGGAGCACAAGUGGGGACCUCCACUAAGAAGGAGCACUCCCGGAAAUGAGUUGCCCGACACUCUUCUUUCUAGGAGUGCUAAACAGGAUAUGCAUGAUCUUUUGCUAGCUGAUCUUCUCAGACUUAGCAAGAAUAAGUAUGCUAGUUAACAAGAGUCUGAAGAAAGAGGAGGAGGAGGAGGGCAAGGUGGAGAAGGAGGAGGAGUAAAAGAAGGGCAGAGAAGCUAAGUUUUGACAGGGUUUGAGAGCUGGUGAGGAAAUCUGAAAAAGCAGGUCAGCCUCCCAGGCUGGAGCUCGGGCAGCAGAUUUUGGCUCAGGACAUUACAGCCAAAUUUGUUACCAACCAGCUGAGUGACCUUAGGAGGUAGGAAAACCGGGACCAUUCAAGCAGUCCUAGUUUGACCAGCGCUCAAGGCACGCUGUGAAAGGGGUGUUUAUACAGGCUGGGAGGCGGGGCUAGAUCGGGGUCCUUCAACCUUUGGGGUCAGGUGCCCCCGGCGAACCCAAAGAAAGGUAAAGACCCUUCUUUUGCUCUGAAAAACACAUGUCCGUGGGUUAUUUAUGGCAGCACAAUAAAUCACCCCCAAGAACUUGUAUA